UACAGAUCGUGUGAAUCAUCGAAUCUUUGAACGCACUUUGCACCUUGCGGCUUUUGUCACAAGGUAUACUUGUUUGAGUAUCCGAAACUACCUCACCUCCCCUUCGGGGCGAAGUGGACAUGAGAUUCGAUAACUAUUGUAGGAGUCGUUUCUUAAAAUGUGGUGGUCGCUUGUGGGAGGUCUCCGUCUGGAACCUGACAGACUAUUGGGAUAACAUCCUGACGAUCGUCUGUCGGUUCACUAUUUUUGGACGUUGACUGACCUUGGCCAACAUUGAAGACAUAUCCCUAUCAAAUGGGACAUGUUUUCACGUCAAGUGAGACUAGCAAUAGUCUUUACAAGACAGUAUAAAUGGAUCUCAAAUCAAGUAAGACUACCCGCUGAACUUAAGCAUAUCAAUAAGCGGAGG
rnacentral:rRNA from 1 species